UCAAGGCAGGGAGCUACGUGGAAAAGAGUGGCAGAAGAGAGCUGAGCAGAGCGUGGUCACUCUACUGUGUCAGAGAGAAGCAAUGCCCGAUUCCUCUGACAGGCUUAGCACUCUUGCUUGAUGUUUUUGAUUUGGAGAGGCCAAGCGACGAGCGAAUUGAGAUCUCGGCCCGAGAGGUAGCUUAGACAAGGUGAUUCAUAGAUGAAAGUAAAAGAACAGAAGACCUCCGAAGGCCAGCAGAUGAGCAGUAAAGAUACGGGAGAGGGAGAUGGCACUUGCUGAGGGCCGGCUGCCGCUUUGACCUCUGUCUCAGCCUGUGUCUGGUUCCAUUUCUCUUUCAGGCACCGCACCCAACCUGGGAGAGGUGAAGCUGCACACCGAGGAGAGCUGUGAGAAGGUCAUGUCUUGCCAUAUUUGCAGUCAGAUGAGCACUUGAGGUCCUGGAGGGGAGGAGAGGCUCGGCAUAGGACUCUGGAAUCGAUUCGGAGCAGGUGUGCACAGUAUAGAGCAGCUUCUGAGGGGCUAGAGGGGUGUCGCGGAAGAGGCUGGCAUCGGCAGGUGGGGUGGUGCUGAAGAUGGCCAGCACAGCGUGUUCCCGUUUGUUUGUUUGUUUGUUGCAGAUUUUGAAGAGGAACCG